CCUACGGGUGGCAGCAGUGGGGAAUAUUGCACAAUGGGGGAAACCCUGAUGCAGCGACGCCGCGUGAGUGAAGAAGUAUUUCGGUACGUAAAGCUCUAUCAGCAGGGAAGAAAAAAAGUCCUUUGGACUUUGGACGGUACCUGACCAAGAAGCCCCGGCUAACUACGUGCCAGCAGCCGCGGUAAGACGGAGGGGGCAGCUUUAUCCGGAUUUAUUGGGGUAAAAGGGGACGAAGGGGGGCUGUUAAGUCAGCGGUCAAAGCCCGGGGCUUAACCCCGGCCCGCCGUUGAAACUGGCAGUCUCGAGUUGGAGAGAAGUAUGCGGAAUGCGCGGUGUAGCGGUGAAAUGCAUAGAUAUCGCGCAGAACUCCGAUUGCGAAGGCAGCAUGCCGGCUCCACACUGACGCUGAGGCACGAAAGCGUGGGUAUCGAACAGGAUUAGAUACCCCAGUAGUC
rnacentral:rRNA from 1 species